rnacentral:rRNA from 1 species
AGUGGCGGACGGGUGAGUAACGCGUGGGUAACCUGCCCCAUACAGGGGGAUAACAGCUGGAAACGGCUGUUAAUACCGCAUAAUCCUGCGGGGCCGCAUGGCCCUGCAUGGAAAGCUUUGGCGGUAUGGGAUGGGCCCGCGUCUGAUUAGGCAGUUGGCGGGGUAACGGCCCACCAAACCGACGAUCAGUAGCCGGCCUGAGAGGGCGACCGGCCACAUUGGGACUGAGACACGGCCCAAACUCCUACGGAAGGCAGCAG